GCCAGCAUAGCGUAAUGGUCGAGCGUUGGACUACAACUCUGGAGAUCAGGGUUCGAAUCCCUGCUCAGCCA